GACAUCAUGGCAACAUUGCUGAUAAUGUGAUGAAGCCUUGGCUUUUGGGACUGAACCUGCCUUGCAUUACCUGCCUGUCUCCCUGUUAUAUUCUAUCCAGUAUUAGAAGUUUACAGAAGAACAGCCCUGCUGGAUCAGGCCCAAGGCCCAUCCAGUCCAGCAUCCUGUUUCACACAGUUGCCCACCAGAUGCUUCUGAGAAGCCCACAGGCAAGAGCAGGACUGGAUUCAUCAUUACGUGAAGCACAGAGUUCUGGGGACAGUAACAGACCCUGCUGUGGCUACAUUAUCAAGGCAUCUGCAGAUAUGGCCGAUGACUCUGUUGGCUCUCAGGUGCACUGUGCACACGGUAUGAACAACAGGCGGUGGGAACCUGCAAAACAGGUCUCUGUGACCUCAUGAUGGAAUACCUCCAGCUGGCUGUGAGUCAUGCAUACAACCCAUUCCAGGCCCAGUAUCAAGGAAUAAGGAGAAGUCAACAUGGGUUUAGCUUGCCGCAAAAACCUAAUUAAAAAAAAAAAAAAAACCAGUGCAAAGCCCACAUGGUUGCACAGGGCCUCUCCCCAUUUUGUGGGGGUCUUGCAAGUUAUUUAUUUGUGUAACUAUGUAAUGCGUCUAUAUACCACCCUGUAUAAAAUCUCAGGGCGGUUUACAAUCUAAACAAACAGCAGCUAAAACCCAGGAAACAGAUGAAAAUGACUGUAAAUAAGUUCACCACAGCAAUGCGGAGAGACCCAAUUGCUUCAGAAUGUUGUGAAGGGGGGAACAAAGAUUGCCGUCAUCUAGAGCAGUGCUUCCCAACUGGUGUGCUGUGGUAUACUAGUGUGCCAUGGGUCAAUGGUUGGUGCGCCCCACUGACUUGCUCCGAGUCAACUCCAAAUCCAGGGAGUCUCAUCCAUGAGCCAAGCACACCCAUUUUGGCUAUUGGUAGCAUCUCAGGGACUGA